UCAACCAAGAGUCAUGUUCUUGCCUGGCCUGUUUCACUGGGGAGUUACCCUUCACAGUAGGACUGGGAAAGGAGAAGCAGGAUCCCUCAGUUGUCACAGUUCAUGGUCACUGCGAAACUCCAGCCCUUACUUCAUGCUGGCAUUUCAUGUCUGUAACUGCUGAGAAGUCAGCACCUGUUCCUUUUUGUUGCAAGGAAGGUAACCUCAUGCAGAAGGUGAGGUUUGCAGCUGAAACUGUCUCUUCAUGGUCUCAGAGAAGACUAUGAAAAUUCAUCAGAAGAAACCCAACCAGCCCACAACAUAUAUGCUAGCAAGAGAACAGCAUUAGUACUGAACUGAACAAGACAAAGCUAUUGUAUCACUCAAUGUAUGAAGAAAUGUAUGAAGAUAUAUAUGAAGAAACAGAGGCAAUUCGUGGAACUGAGGGAAGCAAAAUACAGCAUCGGCAGGUGUGCAUUCAUUGAAAAUGUCAAGACUACUCAAAAGCUUGCUCUCUUUAGCAAUUAGUGGCCCUGCAUGUCAAACAAAGAAUCAACCACUUAAUCUUCUGCCUUUCUUCACAUUAUGUUCAGUCUUUGAAGGUUUAGGAAACAAGACACCCAUCACAAAAACAUGGCCCAAAACGUGUUCAAGUGAGGCAUCUCAUAAAAUCCAAGGCCUGCUAGAAAAUUGAGCUCACAGGUGAACAACAAAAAUGAUAAUCUCUGAAAGUUCAGGCUCCAAACUACUGCUGUUGCUAUUUUCAAAUUCCUUGAAGUGAUUUGCAAGCCACUUGGGCAAGUGGAACUACUGUUACGUCCUUUUCAAAGAUGGAAAACUGAGUCAUGGGGAGAUGAAUUGAGUGAAGAUCGGCUGUGCCUGGGCUCACUACACUGACCAAGGUCUCUUCUGGGUGCCAGGCUUGCACCCUCUGGCCCUAUAGAGAGCCAAACAGUUGCAAGGUUUCCUGUCUAAGGCCAAGCAAAUGUUCUGUGGAAGUACCAGGAUGUGAACUCAGGUAUUUCCAUUCUCAGGAUAUUGCUUUUAUUUUUGUUUUCCCCCUAUGUGCAUCCUCCAAGGCUCUAUCAAGCAAAAAGGUAGUAAUCCAUUACAGACUACUGUUAUAACUAAUAGCCAAAGUGCUCCCCUUACUUUUGGUCUUUAUUCAUUCAUACCACACAGGUAGUGUAUACACAGUGGUUACCAGAACAUCUCUUUUAGCAGUGUUUGGUGCUUAGCAAGCUCUGAGCAAAGCACAGCACUGACCAAGAUGUCCAGAAACGUGCAGACAAAUGCAGGAUGUCCUAUGGUGCUUGCCCUUCUGUGAGGUAUGGCUGACAUCGCUUGUGAAAUAUCUUCAGUUUACUCAGUUAUCCAAAAAUACAGUCUAUCUCUUUGUGUAAUACCUGCUAGUUCAUUAAUUUUAUGCUAUUAAGUAUAGCUAACUGUAGAGCUUUGGAUUUUGGCAUUUGUGUCUCAACAGGAGAAGAACUGUAUGCUACUGUCUUUAUAUUUUUAUUUAAAAUUCUCUAAGCAAUGGUUUAUUUUGAGUGAUGUUUUAAUGUUUUGUG